UGGGGAAUUUUGGACAAUGGGCGAAAGCCUGAUCCAGCAAUGCCGCGUGAGUGAAGAAGGCCUUCGGGUUGUAAAGCUCUUUUGUCAGGGAAGAAACGGUGAGAGCUAAUAUCUUUUGCUAAUGACGGUACCUGAAGAAUAAGCACCGGCUAACUACGUGCCAGCAGCCGCGGUAAUACGUAGGGUGCAAGCGUUAAUCGGAAUUACUGGGCGUAAAGCGUGCGCAGGCGGUUUUGUAAGUCUGAUGUGAAAUCCCCGGGCUCAACCUGGGAAUUGCAUUGGAGACUGCAAGGCUAGAAUCUGGCAGAGGGGGGUAGAAUUCCACGUGUAGCAGUGAAAUGCGUAGAUAUGUGGAGGAACACCGAUGGCGAAGGCAGCCCCCUGGGUCAAGAUUGACGCUCAUGCACGAAAGCGUGGGGAGCAAACAGGAUUAGAUACCCCUGGUAGUCCACGCCCUAAACGAUGUCUACUAGUUGUCGGGUCUUAAUUGACUUGGUAACGCAGCUAACGCGUGAAGUAGACCGCCUGGGGAGUACGGUCGCAAGAUUAAAACUCAAAUGAUUGNCGGGGUCAUAGCUGUUUCCUG
rnacentral:rRNA from 1 species